CCGCCAUUUGCUCAGCUGGAUAGAGUACUCGGCUACGAACCGAGCGGUCGGAGGUUCGAAUCCUCCCGGAUGCACCA
rnacentral:tRNA from 1 species